rnacentral:tRNA from 1 species
AUUUUCUUAGUAUAAUAGUACAUUUGACUUCCAAUCAAAAAGCCUAGAGUUUCUAGAGAAAAUA